ACAGCCUUAGUCUCUCACGCCUCAGUUCAGUUCACAGUCAAAUGAAGUCAUGAAUACCUAAUAUCAUAUCACUGACCACUCGCCGCCUUCAACUUCAAGUUCAAGUCAUCUAUGGGAUAUGCAGCAAUAUAUGAAGACAUGGAGUUGAAAGAUUCAUGCGAGACUCGGCAGCUAUAAGAACUAGGGGAUGGACUCUGGAGCACCGGAGCAGUGCUGACUGCCGAGCAAUUUUCAAGAUUCAAGACUAAACUUCCACUUUCCACUGCUGAGCAUAUUUCAAGCUUUAAUUUCCACUUUUCAGUUUGAUUUUCAUAUAAGAUCUGUAAUGUACUUUGAUAUUGUGGUUUGUUUUAUAACUAUGAAGUACUGUGUGAUGUUAUGGAGUAUUCCACGGAGUGUAAUGUUUAAAUUCAUGUUGCUUGAUAUUGUGGUUUGCUGGAUUAUUCGAGCAUUUUUCA